rnacentral:rRNA from 1 species
CCCAUAAGAGGGGGAUAACAUCCGGAAACGGGUGCUAAUACGCAUAGUUUUCUUGAUCGCAUGAUCGGGAAAGGAAAGACGGCCUUUGUGCUGUCGCUUAUGGAUGGACCCGCGGCGUAUUAGUUAGUUGGUGAGGUAACGGCUCACCAAGACGAUGAUACGUAGCCGACCUGAGAGGGUGAUCGGCCACAUUGGGACUGAGACACGGCCCAAACUCCUACGGGAGGCAGCAGUAGGGAAUCUUCCGCAAUGGACGAAAGUCUGACGGAGCAACGCCGCGUGAGUGAAAAGAAGGUUUUCGGAUCGUAAAACUCUGUUGUCAGAGAAGAACAAGUUGGAGAGUAACUGCUCCAGCCUUGACGGUAUCUGACCAGAAAGCCACGGCUAACUACGUGCCAGCCGCGGC